rnacentral:rRNA from 1 species
AACUAACGCUGGCGGCGCGUCUUAAACAUGCAAGUCAAACGGGUAGCAAUACCAGUGGCGAACGGGUGAGUAAUACAUGGAUAACCUACCUUUAAGUUGGGAAUAACACAGAGAAAUUUGUGCUAAUACCGAAUGUGACGGUUCAGCAAAGGCUGGAUUGGUUAAAGCAGCAAUGCGCUUAGAGAUGGGUCCAUGGCUGAUUAGCUAGUUGGUGGGGUAAAGGCCCACCAAGGCGACGAUCAGUAGCCGGCCUGAGAGGGUGAACGGCCACAAUGGAAAUGAGACACGGUCCAUACUCCUACGGGAGGCAGCAGUUAAGAAUCUUGCUCAAUGGGCGAAAGCCUGAAGCAGCGACGCCGGGUGAACGAUGAAGGUCUUCGGAUUGUAAAGUUCAGUAAGUAGGGACGAAAAAAAUGACGGUACCUACCUAAAGCACCGGCUAACUACGUGCCAGCAGCCGCCGUAAGAC